rnacentral:rRNA from 1 species
GUCUACGGCCAUGCCACACUGAACGAGCCCAAUCCUAUCUGAUCUCCGAAACUAAGCAGGGUUGGGCCUGGUUAGUACUUGGAUGGGAGACCACCUAAGAAGACCAAGUGCUAUAAGUG